GAUGAACGCUGGCGGCGUGCUUAACACAUGCAAGUCGAACGGUGAAGCAGAGCUUGCUCUGUGGAUCAGUGGCGAACGGGUGAGUAACACGUGAGCAAUCUGCCCUUAACUCUGGGAUAAGCGCUGGAAACGGCGUCUAAUACCGGAUACGAGCUGCGACCGCAUGGUCAGUAGCUGGAAAGAAUUUCGGUCAGGGAUGAGCUCGCGGCCUAUCAGCUUGUUGGUGAGGUAAUGGCUCACCAAGGCGUCGACGGGUAGCCGGCCUGAGAGGGUGACCGGCCACACUGGGACUGAGACACGGCCCAGACUCCUACGGGAGGCAGCAGUGGGGAAUAUUGCACAAUGGGCGAAAGCCUGAUGCAGCAACGCCGCGUGAGGGAUGACGGCCUUCGGGUUGUAAACCUCUUUUAGCGGGGAAGGAGCGAAAGUGACGGUACCUGCAGAAAAAGCGCCGGCUAACUACGUGCCAGCCGCCGCCGUAA
rnacentral:rRNA from 1 species